UAAUUUGAAUAAACAUUUUCCUGUUCAAUCCUGAUUUAAAAUCAUUACUUUAAGCUUUUCCGGUUCAUCUAUCUAUCUACUUAUAUCGUAAGAUCCAUUGGAUUACUAUAGAAUAACAGAUGAAUGAAUAGUGACUUUCUUUCUUUAUCCUUACUGACAUUAAUUAAAGAAAUAAAAUCAAACCUCAAACCAAAAUUAAAAUCAAAUUAACAUCAAUAUCAUAAUCAAAUAUUCCAUCAAUAAAAAUAAACUCAGCAAAAAUCAACAUCUAAAUCUAAAUGUUUUCAUCAAAUAAAAAUGAACUCAGAAAAAAUAAUGAAGAAACAUGUCAUCAGUAGAAAGCAAGCAAAUAUAAUUAACACCAGUCAAUUAAAGCCAAGAAAAAUAGAGUUGACUAUGUGACCACACGUUCUGUGAGUCAUUUUCAAAGAACACUUUUCAGUUUAUACUAAAUAGGUAAAACAUAUCAACAUUACAAACCUAGCUGACAGAUUCUAUUGCAAGAAAAAAGUUGAACCAAAUUUUUUUGAGAAAAUAUCUGCAAAACCAAUCUCAAGAUUUCAUAUUUCAGAAUCAUAAAUACAUAAGUGAAAGCAGACUAUACUAAAGGGAAAAGACAAUUGCAUACCUCGAGGUCAGAUCAUACUGCAUAUGCAUGUUAUCGCUGAAAAGAUCUUCUUGACCUCAUAGAUUUUGAGCAUUCUUCUUAGUUAAAACAAUCACUAAAUAACAUUAUAAUUGUUGUAACAAUAUUAGAUUAGCACAAUUUUGCCUUCUAUGCUAAUUCCAUCGACUUCCAUAAAAAAAAUCCUGUAAGAAAAGGAUGAAAUUAAACUUUACCUGCUGUAUCCUAAUGCAUACAGGAGCAAUUUUUUGUCCUCUGCAGGAGGUUGAUCUAUAUGAAAUUAAAAAAAAAAAAAAAACUUCUAUCAGUAGUAUAAUUUCAUCAUCCAAGGAUUUCUGCAAUAAGCUAAGUUAUAAUGGACAGUUGCUAUUCUUCCUAACAAUUACCAAUGUUAGUAUUUAACAUUUGAAUUUUACCUGAUAAUUUUCCAGUCAAUAUAAAUGGACAGCUAUAUAGAUGACAACUGUGUUCUUCCUAAUAAUUGAAUGUUUGGCAACACCUCAUAUAUCUAACAGUUGAAUGCCUCAUAUUAUAAACUAACUGCCAACAUUAUUACGUGGCUUCCUAUUUUAAGCUUCUUACAUCUUCCAGUGCUUGUAGAUUUAUGUUCAAGUCUAGAUUCUACUUUAUUAAAUGAGUUGGUAAAAUGUAGAGUAUAAAGACAACCGAUUACAAAUAAGAUGACCCCAGAAUCAGAAUAACUAAAGGAAAAUCUUCAUAAAAAAAAAUAACGGAUCAAAAAAUUUACUGUAUCAAGAAAAGUAAAUAAAAAAAACAACUAUAUAAUCAGAAAUUAGGAAACAUUUCAUUAGUAUAUCCUGAAUUAGGUCAUAAGUAUCACAAGUUGCCAAAGGCGAGUACAUAAUAAUAAUAAUAAUAAUAACACGAACUCACAAUUGGCAGAUACAAACACAAAAAAAAAAAAAAAAAAGGCAGAGACAGCUAUUAUUCCAAUCAAAUUGCUCUGAGAAAAUAUCUGCAAAACCAAUCUCAAGAUUUCAGAUUUCAGAAUCAUAAAUAAAGAAACAGAAGCACACUAUACUUAAGCGACGAAGAGCACCGAUCUGGGAGGUGCUUUGUGUCCAAGAGGUACGAUGUCUAUCAAUGCAUUGACCUUAGGAUGACACACUUGACUACUUUCUAAAGUUUGUGAUUUGAUACAAUACGUUUUAGUCAAUUUCAAUUGAUUCAGUUAUUAUUAUUUUUUCUAAUUAUUACUUAUUACUGAAUAAUGAAAGUAGAUUCAUUUUUUGGUGCAUAUCACGAUAUUCGUAGAACGAGCCAUGAUGUUCAUUGCCUGUGAAUGAUGCUACUUGUUAUGUAUAUUUUAUAUUAGAUAUUGAUGUAUUGAUUUCAAGUAAAUUUUGUAUCCCGUGUGUUCAAAUCAUUGGGGUUCCUAAACAGUAGGAAUUAAGACUAGCAGUUGAGGAUUUUAAUUGAAUCUUUUUCCCCAAUUAAAAAUGUUGUUCCCAAGAUGUAUUUCUAAACGAGUGCAUAAAUAGCGUAUUUGUUUGGAAAUUGUGUUUAUAACUAGUUGCUACAGUGUACGUAUAAUUCUUCAGUUCAUGUAAAAUACUGUUUUACUUAAUAUGAAUUGUUAUUUGAAUGAUCCUCUCAACAUUUUAUCAUAUUGAUUAAGUAAUGUUGGGUUCUUAAUACUCGCAAUGUUAAUUACAAUUAUAAGUUUCUUCUGGUCUGAUGUCCAGUUUGCUACAAUUUUCUGAACGUACCAAUCAUUUCUCCUCCUUUCUAUAAUUAAUGCCAACUCUUACACCUUUGCCUCUCAUUUUUAAUCGUCUUGCAGGGGAAGGUGGAGAUAGCAUAUAUGGGCCAUAUUUCCCAAGUGAGAAUGCUAGAUCAUACUUUUGAAUAGUUAUCAAAAUGUCUGUCUAUUCAUUUUGAUGAACAAGGUUUCUGAAUUGUUGUGAUUUAUUUUAGUUGAGGAAAAUGAGUGUAAGCAUGAUAGGGAAGGGUUACUAUCAAUGGAUAGAAGAGACUGUAAUGAUUGUGGGUCUCAUUUUGUGAUAACAUUAGGAGCUGAUCGCAACCUUGACAGGUUCUUUUAUAUUGUUAACUCUUGUUUUGCUUUGUUUUUUCCACUUGACCAGCUGGGUAUCAUUAUAAAAUGCCUAGCCUUCAAACAUUGCAUCUGUAAAAAUACAUAAUAUACUAAUCCUGUUGUUUGGAAUCUUUUGGAGUUCUCAUGUGAUUUGUACAUGGACUUGAUGCGGCGCGGGAUAUUGGAGAAUGGAAAUCCUUAUCACCAAUUAGAAUCAUCAGUUGUGGUGCAUAUGACGCUAGGCACAGGCCUUGGUAUUUGGAUGAUGUGCGGUCAAGUCCUUGUAAUAGAGUGGCUCUCUUCCCUAAGCCAUUCACGUCCUCACAGGGCAUUAAUGAUGGGAUAGAGCCAUCUUCUUCAAGGAAAUCUCAAGAGCCAAGUAGAUUACCCAUCUUUUGCUCCAUCUUCUGCAGGGAAACGUCUAACGGCAAGCGAAUUUGAGUUUAAAUUUUCUAAUAAAACCCAAUCAUAUAUUUUCUAAUGAAAAAUUUGAUGAAGGUCAUGAAUAGUUCAAAACCUAAAUAUACUGAUAUGAAUAGGAUAACAUGUAGGAGUAUUUUUUUCAUAUUAAGCUAUGUUAUGUCUUGCUGGUGAUUGGAUGAUAUUGGAAAAGUAAGGAGGCCGGGUAGCACUUUUCAGAAAGCAGAUGAUAUACUUCUGUUUGGUUCAAAAAAUAGUAUGUGGGCACAGAAUGUGAAGAUUGUGAAUAUUGUGGUGGCACAGAAUCAGAAUGUGAAUAUGGUGAAGAUUGGGGAGAAGGAAGGGAAGAUCUUGUCCUUCUCGUUUGAGGAGAAGCUGUGAACAGAGAAAGGCGUCCCAAGGGGAUGAUGGCUCUCCGAUGGUAGUCUCACUUAUGUUGAAAAUUUGGUUUAGGUGGUUUUAAUUUUGUAUCAUAUGUCAGUUAUUAUCAAGUUAUUUUCAGUUUUGUGUUUGUCUGGUUGUUAUUUUUAGCUAUUAUGGCAGACUAUAAAUACUUAUUAUGUAUGUCAUUAGACUUAUAAUUGAAAUAUUAUCCAGUAUAUUUGUGACUCUC